rnacentral:rRNA from 1 species
UUGAUCCUGGCUCAGAAUCAACGCUGGCGGCGUGCCUAACACAUGCAAGUCGAGCGCGAAAGGGGGGCAACCCCCAAGUAGAGCGGCGAACGGGUGAGUUACGCGUGGGUUAUCUACCUCCGAGUGGGGAAUAACACCGGGAAACUGGUUCUAAUACCGCAUGACAUCGCAAGAUCAAAGCUGGGGACCGCAAGGCCUAUCGCUUGGAGAGGAGCCCGUGUCCGAUUAGCUAGUUGGCGGGGUAAUGGCUCACCAAGGCUUCGAUCGGUAGCCGGCCUGAGAGGGCGGACGGCCACACUUGGACUGAGACACGGCCCAGACUCCUACGGGAGGCAGCAGUGGGGAAUUUUUCGCAAUGGGGGAAACCCUGACGAAGCAACGCCGCGUGGAGGAUGAAGGUCUUCGGGUUGUAAACUCCUGUCGACUGGGACGAAAGCUAUCUGACCCAAUACGUCAGGUAGUCGACUGUACCGGUGGAGGAAGCCACGGCUAACUCUGUUCCAGCAGCCGCGGUAAUAAGGU